AAGAAGCUCUUCCUCGGAUGAGAGUCCUAAUCCACCCAGAAAAUUGAGUUAAAAACAAACUCAAAUUCCCCCAUAAAAACCCUAUUUGAAGGUCCUUAAUCCCUUGAUUUUUCCUCAUUGGGAAUCACCGAAGUUCGCCAUUCUUCUUUUUCUUUGUUCUUCUUGAUAUAGCAGAGGUUAAUCUUGUUUUCACCAUUGGAAGUCAGAUCAAGACCCAUCCAAACACUAGUUUUUCGCCACCAGAACUCAGAUCAAAUCCAUCCAAAAACCAGGUCUAUUCGACCUGUUUGAUUGAGGUCAAAUUCUAAGGUAAGGCAAGAUCAUGAAUCAAGAUUGCAUGGAACUUGGGAGAGCGCGUU